UACAGGGGGGGCAAGCGUUGUUCGGAAUUACUGGGCGUAAAGGGCUCGUAGGCGGCCAACUAAGUCCGACGUGAAAUCCCAAGGCUUAACUUUGGAACUGCGUCGGAUACUGGAUGGCUUGAAUUCGGGAGAGGGAUGCAGAAUUCCAGGUGUAGCGGUGAAAUGCGUAGAUAUCUGGAGGAACACCGGUGGCGAAGGCGGCAUCCUGGACCAACGCUGACGCUGAACAGCGAAAGCCAGGGGAGCAAACGGG
rnacentral:rRNA from 1 species